AUACGUUGCUUUCUGCAAUACCCCCUUUAAUGAAGAUUUGCUGCCUGGAAAAAAUAAAAUAAAAUAAAAAAACCCACAAACACACAUUUGGAAUUCAGGAUUACUAGAAACUUUCGGGCAGGUGUGUUAGAGCAGCCUUGAGCAAACCUCUGUAGGAUCUGACCCUACUCUAUAGGGGAUUUUUCCCUUUAAGUACUGUUCUCACACUGUAAAGGACAUGUUCCACCCCUUAUGGUGUAACAGAAGUGGCUGGGCACAGAUGAGAAGUAAGAGUAAGAUAAUUGUUUAUUGCACAAGAGUCAAUGGAGAAACAGGCAGGAGGAUGAACGGGGAUCCAGCAGAACAGGAGACACGUAGAAGGAGGAGCACACCUCAGUGUGCUUGAGACUGGGGAGAACUACGGAAGAACACACGAGGGAAUGUGUCCCGAGCACCACCAUGAGACUCUACCAUCCUGACACCAUUUGCCACCCAUCUGUCUGUUCCAGCCACACCCAGCCUGCAUGUUCAUUAUGCUGAUCCCUUGAUGCUAGCAAUCUUCUUUGACCUGCUCACUAGCCUUCUAAGCCAUAGAGAGCUACAGUAAUGUAAAGUAUAUUUGUAGGCCACCUGGUUGGUGUUAAAAAUCAACCUCAUUCCACCUCGUUCUCAAAAAAAAAAAAAAAAAAAUACAAAAAAAAAAAUAUAAAAUUUAAAAAAUAAAAUAAAAUAAAAUAAAAAUGAAUGAUGAAUAUUGAAGCCUAAUUACAGUUGUCAGAAGUACAAAAGCUAACUUUUUCAGUCUUUAUUAAAAAAACAUAAAAAAACAUAUAUAUUAAAAAAACAGUUUAAAACAUAUUAAAAACAGUUUGAGUUACAAUAGUUUGUGGUUGGGGAAAAAUUUACACAAAAGGAUUUGCCCAAACAACGUUUUGUCAGUUAAAAACUAUUGUAGACUUUUAAUGGAAAUAAUUGGUAUAUAAAUAUUUUGUGUGUGUUAUAUAAGCUUGUGCUUUUAAAAGAAAAUGACGAAUUCUGAGGUUCAUAAAAAAUUUGGGUUGGAGUGAAUUAGAAGCAGCUAAUAUUUGCAUAUUUAGGGUUGGCAACAUAUUUUGAGUUGUGGAUGGACGAGAAAACAAAUGUUAAUUCCCAAAUAUGUUUUCCUUUUUCAUUUGCCUUGAGCUCUCUAACCCCUAAUUCUUUAUGAUCCUCAGAAUUCCUUAUUUUCUUUAAAUAUAUAUAUAUAUAUAUACAUAUAUAUAUAUAUAUAUAUAUAUAUAUAUAAAUUAACAAAUUGCUGACCACAGAAAAAUAAUACUGAGAUACUUUAUGUAUUAUAAUAGGGCUAUAAAAAAUAUACAGUGUCCCCUCUGCCAUUAAAGACACUUAUAAAAACAUGCGGUUAAGAUUUAGUACUGAUUGCACACCAAACAGCCACAUAAUACAAACCUUUAAAAAAAAAAUAUUCUGAAUUGCAUGGAAUCAUAAUAAUAUUAACAGCCGUAGAAGAGCCCUAGAAAUGUGCUCACUUCAUUGUCUACUUGAGGGGUUAUGGAAGUGGUGGGUGAUUCUUGGCUUCCUUUGUGUUAAUUGCCAUGAGCAGGCUGUGUUUCCCGCAGGAUCUGUGGGUGUGGGUGCUAGUCAGCGUGGGUUAGGUAGUUAUAAAUAGUGCCACCAGAUUAGCCGAGCAUCUGAGAAGCAGACAGGAGAUCGGAAAAUCCAGUAUCCAGUGCCAGUUUGGCUCAGCCUUAUGGGUGCGACCUGGGAUCCCCCUGUCCACAGUCCACAAAAAUCACCUCAAACUACAAUACGUCACAGUCAUGUUACCAGGAUAUCUCAUCCACUUUACUGAAGGACAUAAGCAACUGUACACUUUCAGAAAAAAAAGGAACAAAAGAUGUCACUGGGGUGGUACCCUUUCAAAAGUUACUAAUAUGAAUCAUUUAGAUACUAAUACAGACACUUUAGGUAAAAAUAUGUACUUUUAAGGUACCAGUACGUACCCUUUAGGGGUAAAUAAGGUACAAAGGUGUUUUGUACCUUUAUUUCUGACUGUAUAAGACAAAUGCAGGCAGCACUUUUCAUCUUUGCAUAAUCUCAUCACAGCAAUAAUAAUCUGAUUUCCUUUAUUGCAAAGGUCAGUGCACCUCUAAUCACAAUUUAAUACACAUAAUUAACUAUUUAAUUCUAUAAAAGCAAAUAUGUGAGGUGUGUGUUUAGCAUGGAAAAUGGAGAAUUAUCAAAGUGAUGUGCACUCUUCUCUAUGGCAAUGCAAAAACCUUUAGAUAUUGCACACUUUUACAUUUUUCUAUGUUUGGAUAGACACUGAAAUGUACAGUAUUAACAACAACAAAAAUCAAUAAAUCAAUAAUAAUAAUAAUCAGUCCCACUAUAGUGGCCUUAACUACUAUGUACUUAAAUCAAAAAAUAAGUACAAUGUACUUAUUGUGUCCAUAUUGUAUUGCAAAACACUUCUGCUGCUAUUGAGGUGGGAUUCGGGUAAGGUUAAAGUGACAGGUUUGGUUUAAGGUUUAAGGGUUUUAAGGGUUGUGUGGGUUAAGGUGAAAGGGAUGGGUCAACUGUGUAACUAUAAAUGUAAUUACAGAUGUAAUUACAUGCAAGUAUUUUUAAAAUAUAAGUACAAUCUAAAAACAUGUACAUUAUGUACACAAUAAGUGCAUUGUAUCAAAUGAUUAAUUUAAGGCCACUUAAUAUAAAGUGAGACCAAAUAAUCUGUAAUGUAUAAAUAAUCUUUAUAAAUAUCUUUAGGAAACUUUAAAGAAUAAGCAAUUCAGCAUAAUACUGAAUUAAUGAAAUUUAACAAAGUUAACACAUUUACCUACUUUGACAUUAUAAUGGUUUCAUUAUGUUCUUUGAUUUAUUUAUUUAUUGUUACUUUGAUAUUUUGUAGUCUUUGAUGAAUUUUCAAAGUUCAUCUAUACGUUUUGGGUAAAUUGUAAGAAUGGUAAGAAUGGCUGUAUUAAACAAUUUACACAGAAAUUUGUUUUUUUGAGCUAACCUUUAAGAAUCAUUUAAAAAGAUCAUUCUCAGAUGAGGUUUGAUAAAGAGAUUGUGUCUGAGUUCUGAGCUUGCUUACAUUCAGUAGUAACCUAGCUUUUGGUGAUUUCAGUUCUGAAGAUUCAUAAAGAUUUAUACAUAUCAAAAGUGUUUACAUUUUAGAUCCUGUUAGAAUGCUGAUACUGCUUCUAUUGAAAAAUACAAAACUGCAUGUGUACAUUUUACAUUUGAACACCAACUAAUAUAAACAAGGUCCCCCUGUCCAUGUAGACAUUGUCAGCUCUCAUUUUAAAGUCAGCCAUCCCAUAAAUAAAUUAAGCUCAGACACUUUAAAGGCCGCAUUCAGGCUGUAUGCCAUGCCCCAGUCACGCUAUGCAGAGUAAUAACCCACACACAUAUGCAGGCUUGGCACACUGGGCACACUUGGAGAAAUACUACUAAGCGACCAGUUGCUAAGGAGACCCAUGAGAAAGGGAGGGUUCUUGUUGCCAUAGCAGCCUUUUUUCCUCCUAACCAGUUUCUCAUCCCUGUGGAAGUGACAUGGGUGAGUUUAGGGGGGAGGGGCUGGGAUUCACUCAUGCAUGAUCGGAGAAAGCAAAAGA